AUCUGGAGAGGAUGCUUCUGGCGCGGCGCCUUCCGAGUUCCCUGGAACGGGACGCCGGAGAGGGUGAGAGCCCCGUACGGUCGGACGCCUAGCCUUUGUGAAGCUCCUUCGACGAGUCGAGUAGUUUGGGAAUGCUGCUCAAAAUGGGAGGUAAAUUUCUUCUAAAGCUAAAUAUUGGCCAGAGACCGAUAGCGCACAAGUAGAGUGAUCGAAAGAUGAAAAGCACUUUGAAAAGAGGGUUAAACAGUACGUGAAAUUGUUGAAAGGGAAGCGCCCGUGGCCAGACUUGUGCCCCGCGGACCACCCGGCGCCCUCAGCGCCGGUGCACUCCGCGGGGCGCAGGCCAGCAUCGGUUUUUCCAGGGGGACAAAGGCGGCGGGAACGUGGCUCCCUCGGGAGUGUUAUAGCCCGCCGCGCCAUGCCCCUGGGGGGACCGAGGACCGCGCUUCGGCAAGGAUGCUGGCGUAAUGGCCACCGGCGACCCGUCUUGAAACACGGACCAAGGAGUCAAGCAUUGGGGCGAGUGUCUGGGUGCCAAACCCGCACGCGAAAUGAAAGUGAACGCAGGUGARAGCUUCGGCGCAUCAUCGACCGAUCCUGAUGUUCUCGGAUGGAUUUGAGUAAGAGCCUUACCGCUUGGACCCGAAAGAUGGUGAACUAUGCCUGUAUAGGGUGAAGCCAGAGGAAACUCUGGUGGAGG
rnacentral:rRNA from 1 species